AACGGGAUGGGCUGGCCCGCAUCGGCACGGAUCUUAAACAAGUCUGGCUCACUGGAAACCCUCGAAUCGGCAGUUUCCAGCGAGUCAGGCUGAGUUUGUCGCAAAAGGAUGCAACUCACACGCGAGGGAGCAACACGAAAUCGGGUGAAGAUGGCGGGAGAUGGAAACCGGGCGCGGAGGGAUGGCGCCAAAUCUAGCCUCAUCCCCCAUUUACUUGGUCACCACUGGCUCUAGGACAAGCUCCUCCUCUGUUCUUAGCACCGGCGGCGGCGGCCAGGCCCGGCCAAACGGGGCGCCCGCCCUGGGCCCCCGGAAGGCAGGGGCCCCAGCCCGAGAGGUAGUAUUCCUUCGUACGUAAGAAGCCCAAGGAAUAUAUCGGGAAAGCAGAGAGCCGAUUCAGCCGUGGGCAAAAUCCAUCGUCAAUCUUCCUCCUCGACCCCUCCACUUCGCAAGAUCCUGACUCCCAUAACAGCGCCGCCGCUCCCGUGCCUUACCGAUUCCAAGGUCGCCGUCGGCCAUUAAUGGAGAUUAAAGGCGAAAAUCCGUUCCCAAAUCGGCUCUUCUUCCUUUCUCAGUGUUCUUCUUGUUCCCCAUCAACUAGAUGUUGGAGAUGUAGAGACGGUGUUCUUCUGAUAUUAACUGGAUCUGAGUGUGAGAGUCCUUGGGAGAUUAGAAGAACUGCAGAAUGGGAGAAAUUAUUCAGUUCUUGGUGUCGUCUUUUGGUUCGUGCUGACAACUGCAACCUACGGAUCUGGCAACCGACAUCCACAUCAAUACAUAUUUAGGUGUGUUUGUUCCCUGUAUUAAUCAUUUUGUGCAAACUGUUCUUGUUUACUGUCAUGUCGUCUAGAAAGUGUUUAUCUAGUAAAAAGACCACUGAGUGUCGAUGAACAGCAAUGAUGCACUCGUAAUAUUUUUGAUCCGCCAAA